CAGCAGCCACGGUAAUACAGAGGGUGCGAGCGUUAAUCGGAUUUACUGGGCGUAAAGCGUGCGUAGGCGGCUUCUUAAGUCGGAUGUGAAAUCCCUGAGCUUAACUUAGGAAUUGCAUUCGAUACUGGGAAGCUAGAGUAUGGGAGAGGAUGGUAGAAUUCCAGGUGUAGCGGUGAAAUGCGUAGAGAUCUGGAGGAAUACCGAUGGCGAAGGCAGCCAUCUGGCCUAAUACUGACGCUGAGGUACGAAAGCAUGGGUAGCAAACAGGAUUAGAUACCCGAGUAGUCCCUGUCUCUUAUAC
rnacentral:rRNA from 1 species